rnacentral:piRNA from 1 species
AGGAGGUAGGACCUCUAUGUUAGACGCC